ensembl:lncRNA
CCCGGUACAUAGUUGUACAUUCUUUGUUGUGGGUCCUUCUAGUUGUGGCAUGUGGGACGCUGCCUCAGCGUGGUUUGAUGAGCAGUGCCAUGUCUACGCCCAGGAUUCGAACCAACGAAACACUGGGCCGCCUGCAGCGGAGCGGGCGAACUUAACCACUGGGCCACGGGGCCAGCCCCCAAAGCAUUACAUUUUUUAAACUCUGUGUAUUUGUUAGAUUCCUUUUAGCAGAUAACUGGUUAGCUGAGACUUCAAGGAGGGAGCAAGUAUGCCCUCCUUUUAUUGGGUCAAUUAAAUAUUCACCUACCUGCAAUGGCCUAUCUUAGGAGAGUAAAAGCUUCAUAUUAAGAUCUCAGAGGUAAUUAGCCCCAGAGUCUCUGAAGCAAGAGAGAGUUUAUGUUACUGCAGCAUGAAGGUGGAAACUGCUGGAACCCAUCUCACCUAUGAGUCAUCCGGUUUUAAGGGCUCCUAACAUUGCAUUCAAUUCACCUCAGCUCCUCCUUCCCUUUAGGAAGCAGUUCUACCUUUGUUGUCAAGACGGCAUCCACAUUUCCAUUGCAGGCCACCGUGCUCAAACAAAGGAACCUGGCUUCAGUGUCAUAGCCUGAUAGAUGCUAGUCAUAAAAAGACCAUAAGUGAUGGUUUGGAUUCUUUCCUUAUCCGUAUUAACAGAGAAUCAUUGGCUUUUAAGCAGAUUACUGGGGAAGAGGCCAUUUUUCCUCCUCCCACUUUGAAAAUGCAGAAUUAAUUUUUAUACUUUUGCUGUGUAAUUUCCUUACCAAUUUGAACAUUUUUCCUCUAUCUAAAUCUAUCUGACUGCUCAGCACUGAACCAAACAAAAAACGUCCGGCUUUUCAUGCACCAUUUUUUGGGGUAAAUGUCUUGUGUUUCAUUCAGUCUGAAAAGUGAAUUGAAAUUAGUCUGCUUAGUUUCCUUGAAAAUUGUGUGAUCAGUUUAACUACUGGGCUGAUUGCAGGAGAGAACCAGAUUUGAGGAUGGAGGCACAGCCAGAGAGCUGGAAGUUCCAGGGACUGAGAGACUGCCCAUGGCUUUCUGUGACGUUCACCUCUGCUACCAGGAGGCCAGUCUCCCCUACUUUUCCCUUUUAAUCUCUGAUCUGGCAGGGAUGUAAGAAUUUUGAUAGUUAACUAGUAUGGAAUAACUAGCACUCCAGAAGCCUAGAUGGGGCUGAGUCAUGCCAUAUUUGCUCCAAGUCAGCAAAUAUUGCUAAAUGCCCACUAUACAUAAGGCACUUACUAAGUCCUAUAGAGAAGGGAAUCGAAAGAUGAACAAGACACAUUUCAGGUCUUGGAGGAGGGAAGGCAGACACUUAACCUAAACAACCUGCCUCCACACCCACUCACAGCUGACCUUGGGCAGCAGAACUAACUCUCUAAAGCUCAGUUCCCCUAUGUAUAUACAAUGGAGGCAACAACUUUGUAACAAUUCAGGGCCCAGGUAAACCUACUGUGGGGACCCUCCUAACUGAACACACACCAGGAAGGAGGCCUUUCUCCUCACUAAAGAAGACCACGUGAAACUGUUACAGAGCUGCCAGGAGCUGGGAGACCACGUGUGGCUCCAUCAGCAGACAUGUGCAUUUCAGCAGGAAUCUCUUGCCUGAACUCGCAGUUAAGAACCCAACAGAUGACCCUGUAAAGUCUUGUUACCCAGCUGGGUGUUUAGAUGUCUACAGGUCAUGAUCAUCUGGCAACACCAGGGUGAAGCCUCCCACCAGAUUUUUUAAGACCAGCUGGUUCAUCUUGAAACUAAAGGCUGCUAGGGCCCCAUGUGUUGCUUGGAGGUCAGUUUUUUCCAAACUGUGAUAUUUCUACUCCUCCUCACAUUUCACAAAUAUUAUUGGUUAGGGUGAAUAAAAGUUUUUUUUUAAAGUGAUAUGACUUUAAAGAAAAAUAUUAAGAGAAGAGCGACAGGUGGUCUAUAGCAUGGCAACUUUUUUUUUUUUUUUUUAAAGAUUUUAUUUUUUUCCUUUUUCUCCCCAAAGCCCCCCGGUACAUAGUUGUAUAUUCUUCGUUGUGGGUCCUUCUAGUUGUGGCAUGUGGGAUGCCGCCUCAGCGUGGUUUUGAUGAGCAGUGCCAUGUCCGCACCCAGGAUUUGAACCAACGAAACACUGGACCGCCUGCAGCGGAGCGCACGAACUUAACCACUCGGCCACGGGGCCAGCCCCAGCAUGGCAACAUUUUUAAUGUCAAAUUUGGUAACCACUGGGGCUGGCCUUGUGCCCUAAUGGUUAAGCACACUCCGUUUCAGCGGCCUGGGUUCAUAUCCUGGGCAUGCACCUGCACCACUCAUCGGUGGCCAUGCUGUGGCAGUGACCCACAUACAAAAUAGGGGAAGACUAGCAACAGAUAUUAGCUCAGGGCAAAUCUUCCUUGGCAAAAAAAAAAAAUAAAAAAAAAUUGGUAACCACUGGGUCCAUUAAUGAAGGGACUUACAGGGGAGGGAACAUAACUGGAAACCUCCAGUUACCUCCAACCCCACUUUCAGCUCUCAUUUCUCCUCUCUCAGAAUCUUCCUAGGUGCCUGGGAUCACUUCUUCCUCUCUUUCCAAAGUCCUUUGUGUAUGUGUCCACAGUGGCCCUUAUUCCAUUUUAUCCCAGUGGUUGGCCUCCCACUUUGCUUUCUUUCCUAGCUGUGAGCUUUCCUGGGAAAUCACCUUUGUAUUCCCUACAGUGCUUGGCACAAAAAGGUAAACUCAAAGAAAGAGAGACUAACUGGGAGAAUGAAAGCACUGUCUCCACCUGUUUCCUGAUGAUUAGAAAGCUGUGAGGCAAGGGAAGGGAAGAAAACUCCAGCCCCAGCACUAUUCAGAAAGCCAGUUUAAUUAUUCUGGCAGAAGCAAUCUGAAUAUAAGGACAAAGAUAGGUCUGUGACUUUCCAGAAUACUCGAUUUCUACUCACAAGAACUCUGACUGAGCAUCUUUAUCCACGGGAAACAGGUGCCGACAGAAGACUGAGAAGAUUCCCUGUUUCUUUUGCAUUUCCUGCUCAGCUGAUCCUGAGUGGAUGUGGAAGUCAGCAUUUGUCUUUGGCAUAUUCCCAUCCCUCUCAAACUCCUCCGCUCCUCCAUUUGGAUUUCCAUUCUUGCUCUUAGCUAGCAAGACUCCCUACUUACCCACUGAUAUUUAAUAGACGACUCCUCCUUGAACCAAACCCAUUUUUCAAAAGGACUUCCAGCUGUUAAUGCAGUUAAUUGAAAGGAAUGAAGCUACAGUGGUGGAAUUAUGGACUGGAAUGGAAAAUCCCCUUAAGUCUCAAUCAUUUAGCCAACUGCCUGUUUUGCCUUCUUACAAUACAAUUUAAGUUCACUUUGGCAGCCAAACAGAAUAAUUGCAACCAAGUUCUGCUGGCCAGCCUGAGCUCGCCAGAAAUUAAGUGCAUAGACUGAGUCAGACUGCUAGGUUCAAAUCCCAGGUCUUCUAUUUUUUAGUUGUAUGACCUUAAGCAAGUUACAAAACCCCUCCUAACCUGCUGACUUCAUCUAUAAAAUGGGGCUAUGUUCUCUACCUCAUCCAGAUGUUGUGUGCGAUGAAAUAAUCCACGUAAAUCACUUAGCGCAAAUCUGGCACGGAGCUGAUGUCCAGUAAGUCUAGCCAUCAUCACUCCAUUCUUGCAUUGGAAUGUCCUAAUUUCCUUAUAGAGGCACAGAUACUUGAAGUACAACCAUUUAAUUUUGUAGGCAGGAUGCAUUACCGUGUAGCAGAGAGAGAAGUAGAUAGGCUUCCGUUUGCUGAAUAACCAUACAGAACCCACUUACUCUCUUUGGGUCUGUUUCCCACCUGUAAAAUGAGGUGGGACAGGCAGGGAUUUCCCAGGGUUGCAAACUCAAAUGUCUACAGAGGCCCAAUAGAUAAAAUCACUGGUGAUGUGGGCUGGGUACAAGACAAUAGAGAGCAGUGGGGAUUAUGGUUAACUGUAGAGCUUUGCUACUC